rnacentral:lncRNA from 1 species
AUGAGUAAUCUGAAGCCCAAAGGGAAACAGUGCGGACGGGUCACACACGUCGGGCGCCACCGCUCUGGGGCAGACCCGCGGAGAGCUGGCCGCCCGCAGCGACCACAGGGCCCCCGCCGCCCCGGCCCGGCCUCGCCCCCACCCCCCAGCCCCGCCGCCGCCCGCACCGCCGUCCUCACACCGGGCCCCCGCUGGGCCUGGCCGAGCGCGGCUCCGGCGCCUCCUCCCCGCGCCCCCGGGGACCCGCGCUCUCGUCCCUCCCGGCGCCCGGCGCUCCGCUCGGCGACCCAGCCCCGCCGCACUCACCCCGGCCGGCCCCGCUCUCCGCCCGGCCUUUCCUGUGUGCUCCCUCAAGCUUCCCCGGCUCGUUGCAGGGAAACCGCUGCCGCCGCCCUCGGGUUCCGCGCAAGGAGGGCGCGGUCUGCAGGGGCCGCCGCCCGGGGCCUGCGUGCAUGUAUCCACCCCUCACCUUCACAGUCCCUGCCUGCCAGUGACAACUUUGCAGGUGACCAGCUAACCCCGUCAUCCCUGUUGAGAGGAGUUGGUGCACAUCAGUUUAAGACAUCUGGGCCCUGGCUGGCACUUUCCAGCUCUCUAUAUGAUAUAGGAGUGAAAAAGGACAAAGCUAGGAUCUACACUGAUUGCAUCAGGUAA